AAUGCUGUCUUGCCGCUGAUAAACGUUGUUUGAAUGGGAACCUUAAAGUGGAAGAUGCAUCUGUUGGUGGCUCUGUUCAUCAUGUUUCACUAUGUGACAUCGCGGACAAUCCAUCAGACUCCCGCUGCCGUCUCCCAACUCCCAGAGACGAGAGUGAAGCUGCAGUGCCGUGUGGAGACAGCAAGUAGCAUUAACAUAUUCUGGUACAGACAGGUCCCGGGAAAGGGGCUGCAGCUGAUGUUUUACUCCAGUAUCGCAAGUCACGUGGAUCCAAAGGAGCCGGUGGACGGUUUCACCGCCAAGAGACCAAAUAACAACGAGUUUAACCUGGAGACCUCCAGCCUGUGGUUGAACAAUUCGGCCGUGUAUUACUGUGCCUGGAGUAUUCACAGUGACUCAGAGAGAGGGAGUAGCUCAACAAAAACCCCAAAGGUUGCACGAAACAACCGCGAAUGA